rnacentral:lncRNA from 1 species
GUUCUGGAUUCCAGUGGACUUUGCCACGGAGCCGGCUGAAGUAACAAAAAUACCAACCAACGAUGACGAUCGCUGGCCACGGCUCAGCCACCUCCCUGGGCUCUGCCCAGUCCUCACCAGCAGCCCAGUGAGGAGGAGCCAGUCCAGGGCUGCAGUUCAGAGAGGAGACCUGGUCACGGAGCCUGAGCCGGGCCUGCGACUCCCGGGCUGCCCACUGGUGCUGAGAGCUGGGCCCGUGGUUCUGAGCAGCGUCUCCCAGGGGCUGAGCGGGGCCCUAACUAGCAAGCAGGGCCCUGGGUGGUGGCCCCUCCCCACUGGCCUGGCCUGGGCUCUGCUCACGCGGCUGUGCCAGAAGCCCACCGUCCAGGCUCAGCGGGGUGGAGGACCUUCCUCCCAACACUCACAGCAGAAGACAAAGGGAGAGAAAUGAAAACACUCCACACAUAGUAGGACUGCAGGCUCAACAUCUGCGCCAGGUGGAGGAAGACUGGGGUGCGUUCGACAGUGGGGGUAAGGCCGAGGGCGCUGUCCCCAAGUCCUUCAGCCUGAGCAGACAGAUUUUAGGUUUGUGCCCUGGAAACGGGACAGGGUGGUUGUUGCCAAGGAGACACCUUCUGCCAGAACAGUGUCAGCCUUCGUCACCUGUCAUGAG